CCUACGGGAGGCUGCAGUGGGGAAUAUUGGACAAUGGGGGAAACCCUGAUCCAGCGACGCCGCGUGAGUGAAGAAGUAUUUCGGUACGUAAAGCUCUAUCAGCAGGAAAGAAAAUGACGGUACCUGACUACGAAGCCCCGGCUAACUACGUGCCAGCAGCCGCGGUAUUACGUAGGGGGCAAGCGUUAUCCGGAUGUACUGGGUGUAAAGGGAGCGUAGACGGCAGCGCAAGUCUGGAGUGAAAUGCGGGGGCCCAACCCCGGAACUGCUCUGGAAACUGGGAGGCUGGAGUGCAGGAGAGGUAAGCGGAAUUCCUGGUGUAGCGGUGAAAUGCGUAGAUAUCACGCAGAACACUGAUUGCGAAGGCAGCAUACCGGCGCGCGACUGACGCUCAGGCACGAAAGUGUGGGUAGCAAACAGGAUUAGAUACCCGUGUAGUC
rnacentral:rRNA from 1 species